GGUGAUAGGGUUGAAGCAACAGGAUGAGAGAUCUCAAGCAUGCUACUGAAUGUUGUGCUCUGACAAAACGCCAUAGCUUCCUUUAUCAAGACAGCUGUGUUUUUAAAUAAAUGAUCUUAAUUUGGCCUGCAGAAGGAUUAUGCCUGAUACUCAAAUGUAAUACCUUGAAAGGUCACCUUGACUUCCUCAAGAAGUUUAAUUCAAGGCAUUCAGGAUGCCAGACCAGAAGGCCUCCCAGACUGAGAUCAUCUAGAAACUCCAUUCUAUCUGAACUACAGAAAGUCUAGGGAAGAAAAAAAAAAACUUUAGCGGGGUAAACUCUGCAACAAGCUUAAAAGAAUUCCAAGAGCAAGAUGUAAAUUCUUCAGCCAAUGGAGUUUGUGGCAUAUAUUCAACAUCUAUUGUUACAACUAAGACAGACUGAUCUGAGCUGAAAAUAUCAAUAACAGGAAUUGCUGGAACAACAUAAGCCUGCUUUGUAUGCACAUCUUGUGCUGCUGGGGAGCCACUCCUACCUCACAAUACAGUUUGAUUUGACACCAAGUUCUCCAGCAGAAAGGAGACACAUCUGACAGAAGGGCAGCCCAUGGAAAGACAAAACUGUCAAAGAAAGAAGGAAGCGAAAACAAUCCAACUGAGCAUUUCCUUGCAAUGCAUCCUUUCCCUGGGAAGACAAGAAACUGCAUUUCAGCUGCUGUAGAAAAAGCACAAGCCAGAUGUGGAGUUCAAUGCCAGUGCAUCGACUAACAGGACAAAAAAUGUGCACAGGAGGUGUCAAACCCCAGAAUGCAGCAGCACAGAGGAGCUGAAGGGGUUCUUUCUUCUCCUCCACUUGGGUGCUUCAAGCAGUGGAGCUAAUGCAGCUCCAUUGGCGGAGCAGAUGAGCAUGGCAUCCUUAAUGCCCUGUGGCCUAGCAGAUUAAUUGUGCAACCAUUGUCCUCCCACUUUUCCUGCAUAUUAAAUUGGAGCUAAUGAGUCAUUAUCUGUGGUCUGCUUGGAAGAAUGGGUUGUUUGUUCAGCACUUUGAAAUCGUAAAUCAAUAUAUACUGCAAACGUGAUGUGCUGCCUACAACUUCAUUCAACAGAGAGCAGCAUUGGACAGGAAAAAAUGAUGUAUCACCCUGGCUCUUAAUGCUGCCCUCUGCAGAAUCUGGUGAUGCGGGUGACUCCUGGGUGUCUGUCUGGAGAGCAAGUAUGAUGGAAGGGGGCUUAUUCACCAUCUCCUGUGGGCAAAGUGAGCAAACCUAAAUGAAGUAAGAGGAAGAUAUAAAUGGUGAUCACCUGAAUCAUUCUGACAUCCAUAGAGUUACUAUUCAUUUAGUAAGCCAAUGACACAAGUAUUUCCUUUGGUACUCCAAGGUUCUCUCCAGGCAUAUCAGGCAGUAUUUUCAGACAAGCACUUAAAAAAAAAAAAAAAAAAGGAAAAAAAAAAAAAGGAAAAAAGUCACAUACAUUCUGUGGCUACUUCUUAGGAUUGCCUUAAAUGUUGUCUUUAGAAUUCAAGGAAGUUUAGGAAAAAAAUCUAUUUCUCUUUCUGACAUAGCAUUUUCUGAGAUAGGUUGCAGCAGCUUUCAGGGCUCCCUGGAGUACAGCAUUUUGAGAGAGAUAGCAUUUCCAGGCUCUGUUCAGCGCCACACCACCCCCUGUGCUUCUCCUCCUUCACUCCAGGGCUCUUCCCAGGGAUGCUCUGAAAAUAGAGAAGAUUUACCACCUGUAGGACUGCAGCUGGUACUGAAAGACUGCUGGAAAAAAAAGAAAAAAAAAAAAAAAGGCAAAUAAGGUUCACUGUAUUCACAUUUUGCCAGUUCUCUUCAACAAUUGACAAGUCCUAACAAAUCUCUGCAUCAGUAUUUCUAAGAUAUAGUUGCAAGAAGCUGCGCUUAGGUUUCGGUUUUCAGGAUUAACUCUGCCUUUUUAUUUUCUGCUUAUGCUGUAAGCAUAACGCUCCAGGUUAAGGGCUUAAAACAGAAUUUACAGUGAAUCCAGAGCAUAUACUCAUUUGUGUGACUUUGUAAUUGUAAUUCUGAAUGCAAAAAUGUUACCCUUCCUUUUCCUGUGGUUUGCAAUGACAUGUGUGACAGUAAGCAGUGUGACCAAGACUGAAAUUCAUUAUAUGCAGUCCACCUCACCUUACCCAAAAUACGUGGAUGACUGUUAAAAUACCAUAAUUAUGCACAAAGGAGAAAGAAAGAGGGAGAGUGUGUUUUUUUUCUUUUUUUUCUUCUCCUUUUUUUCUUUUUUAAUUUAUAUCAGGCGUUUUUCUUUCAAAAAAUCCUUGUGAGUUCAGGAGACACAGUUUUAUUAAUAGCAUGUUUCAGGUUUAUCUUCUCCACCAUGUGACUUGCACUAAGGAGACACCUUCGCAAGCAAAAUGGAAGGGACAAGAAGAGGCUGGUUAUGCAGGAACAGCUGCUUGUUUUCAGCAGCAUCACUUGAGAGUUUUUCACAUUCUCCUUCUCCGCCUCUCCCCAAAUGUUCAGCCUGCUGUGUGCAAGCUGGGUGUUUACUGUUCAGGACUAUGGAGGAGGAGGAAAUAUUUUGCCUAUUGUUCAGUGACGUCAAUGGCUUCGCUCCCAGUCACUUGAGGGACACUGGUGCUGAGCAAAUGUCAGUACACUGCUGCUACUGCAUGUGCAUUACAGACGGCUUGCAGGAAUUUAAGGUCUCUCCUCCAAGAUAGAUCCUGUUGGUGGAUGAGGCGGGUGUGAAGGGCAAAGAGCAACCGCCAUGGAAAGCCGCUCUGCUGCUUUUUGCACAGGAAAGCAUUACAUGCUACAUUUUGUUGCGGUAUUGAUAUAGCAUAUUUCUUAGCAUUAAAUGCUGCACUGAGCAUAAAAAACAUCUUUUUAUCCUGCACCAAAUCUUUCCCUCUCACACUGCCUUCGUCUGUAUUAAAUCAAGGUUCUAAAAAUAACAGAGAAGACACUGAGAAUUUUAUAAUUAAUCAGGAUAAAUAUUUAACUCAAUUGCUGACUGUAUUCAGUGCUUUUCUGAUAUGCUGUUGCUAUGUAUUUUGUCACCAGAUGUUGAUAACUGAACUGCAAAUGUAUUUUGCUGAAGGUUUUUUUUAUGCUCAGAGCUGAUUUUAUUUUAAUGCAGUAUUUGCGAGAGGGAAGUAUGGGUGCAGUUGAUGUUCCUAAAGGAACAGCAAUUGGAAAGCCUCUCCUUACCCACUUAUUUUGCAUUAAAACCUAUUUGAAAUUAUAUUUUGCAAAUUUUGCUGCCUAUAUCUGUGAGUGAAAAAAGGGUAUCUACUGCUUUCACGUACAUAUGAGGGAAGCUGUGGUUUUAGAAAGUGCUGAGGAAUUGAUGUUUGAUGUCAGUACCUUAGUUGUUCACAUUAGGAUUUUGUUGUUGAAAUAGGAGUGGCUGGUUUCAAAAAAGUGACCCGUUAGAUAUUCAAAUGGAUCUGUGGCUCUGGAUGGAACCAAAAGUUCAGCUUAAUAGCUAUUUUUAUGUGAGACACCAGAUUUGUUUCAUAUUAAUGAAAUAAGCAUAGUGAAAACUUCAAGUGUUUUGAGGGCUGAUUACAGCUGGCAGUGUUAUGAAGCACUAUCACAAUACUUCCAGAUAAAGGGAGAACAUAAGUUAAUGUUCCCUUUUUGUAAGGAAAAACAGGUGAAUGCAGAGACUAGUGCUGCAUUUAUGGUGGGAAAAUAAAGGGUCAGAUAAAUCCGUAUUAAUAUUCUAAUUCUUGACCAAGCCACUGGCCAUCAUCCAUUGCCUACAGGUAUAGACCGCCACAGAAAAGAGGCCAUAAGUAGCCUGGAUUUUGAAAAGAAAGCUGUAGAUGGUUUGAGCUGAUAUGUAUUUAAAUCUAUAUGAGUUGCUCACGUGUUCAGGCCAUUCACUGAUCAGUAGAAGAGGGCCUUUCCCCAUAAUACUGGAUGACUGGAGAAUGAACACAAAUUUGUUCAAUAACAUAUAUUUAAGAAAAAAAAAGUCAAAAGAAAGUAAAGUUUCAUAAAAGAUAAUUGAAAUAAGGAACAUCAGCAGUUUCCUGUAACUUGACUCACUUUUGCAUGUGAUUUACAUUCCUCAAUUAUAUGAUCACAUAAUUCCUGUUUUCUUUUCUCCUCCAAAGAAUGAGUGGCUACUUGCCUCAACCUUUGCAAGGGCAGUAUUAUUAUUGGAAUGUAAAAUAUUAGGAGGCUAAGAUGACAACUAUUUUCCUUGAUCUCAUCAUAUAGUCUAGCAGACCGUCCUACAACAGUCUGGAGAAAUUCAGGAAAAGUCUGUAUUGCUUUGUGUAUGCACACUGCAGCCAGACAUCUUGGAAAAUUUAGCUAAAGACCUCCAAAGGCUCUAUCUGAAGCACACACAAACUGCAGUUUUUUUCAAAUGUUUGCAACUUGUCAAGUUGAAGCUGCCUUUUUUGAGGUGUAAAAACACAGAGAAUUCGUUUAUCAUCUGAAUUUCAAAGUGCAGAGGCCAAAACUGUUUUGAGCAAAACUGUUGUAAGAAUUUUCGUAUGUAGGAAAUAGACCUUUUAGGUUCUUACAUAAUAUUUUAACUAGAAACUCAAUGCAGCAAUGCUACUCAGCGGGGGGAAAUUUCAGAUCAAAUAGUUAAAACUGGAGAGAACGCGUUAAAGAAAUUCUUAAAAAAACAUAAUGUGUAUUAUGUUACUAAAUUUAUACCUUGAGAGGCUGAAAUAGAAGCACAGUUGAUAUAAGGUAAGAAAGAACUUAGAUUCCAUUUAAGGACUCCCUUUAGAAUCAUAAAUCAGGAUUAGAAGGUGUAGCAGAAAUACUAAGUCAUGGCCUGAACGAGUGAUUGAGCACCUGGUGGGAAGUCAGGGCCAACCCAGGGGAGCUCAGGUGUAUGCAAUGCACCUGAACGGACGGAAGGGGUGGGACCAGGAUCCACACCUUCCCAGACCUUGUUUAAGGGUUGGCAGCAGAGGUGAGAAAAUCUCUCUGGAGAUCCCUGUGUACCUGAGACUCUCUAAAGAAAUGAACUGUAUGUGAAAAGAGAAGAACACAGCAGGCAUGCCAGCUGAGCACAGCAAAUGGGCAGGUACUGUGGUCUUGUGGAGCUGUGUGAGAACUGCACCAUCCCAGUCCCAGGAAAAGUCAUAAGCCUCAAUAUCAGAGAGCUUCUCUUAGCACAACCAGCCAAAGGAAUGAGGAAAAGCAAACCCUACGGCAUUUGAACUAAAAGGAUGAGUUCUGCGGCUGCUACAUUUUAACAAGAAUAAUGUACCUCAAUUUUAUUUGAAUCCAAAAACCAGCAUGCUUUGCGGAAGGAUUUGUUCUGAAAACAUCUUUGCUCUCUACUGAGCUAGGCUGGACUGUGAGUUCAACACAAAGGGUCACAGGAUUGCACUAAAUACUCUGUUGAAUGAAAUUAGGAUUCUCUGUGCUGCUUCAACUGGAUGUGUUUUUCUUUACUUCUGAUUUUAUGGGUGUGUAGGUGGCAGGUAGUCUUUUAGUACCAUUAAUUCAAUACUUUUCCCUAAUCCUACAUUUAAUUAUAUUUCCAAAACAAGUAAAGUAUUUCCACAUGUAUCCAGUAAUAGUGUUCCUUUUUUUUUUUUAGGUUUCUCUCAGAAAGUCUGGGACUCUGAAUUUCUCUGACUAUAAUCAGAACUGUCCAUAUUACAAAUCUUUUUUGACAGCAAGAUUCUGAAGGAAGUAUGACUGGACAAUACUUUAGCUUGUUAGGCAUGCACAGAUUUAUUUGGUUGCUAUGGCAAAUGAUCCAGAGCUACAUGCGACACUGAGCUUUCAUAGUACAAAUGAGAAAGGGCAAGGUAGAAUAAAAUGAAGAAGGUGUUAACUGGUCUCCAUUGGCUUUCCAAAGCAGUCUCUCCUCACUUUGCCUGUUUUCUCCAUGCUUUAGAUUUCUUCAUCUGACUACUAUGGAACAACACUGGAAAAUGUCUAGUGUGUAAUACAGAACAAGCCAAUAUAAAUUUAAGUUAAUGCAUAAAACCAGGCAUACUAUCCUUUCUCUUCCCCACAGCCUGCUUCUUUUCCUUUCCAGUACUUUGGAGGAUAAUAUAUUUUGUACUUCAUAGACAGUUUUUGGGCUAUUCCCAUUUCAAAGAAAUGAGUGUAUUUUUUUUGUAAUAAUCAAGCAUCAAUUUGUACAGACAGUUAACCAUUUUCUUAUACUCCAAGAAAUUUCAGAAAAAGACUGAAGAACAUAUGUAUUUCCAUUCUCAAUAAGCACAUGGUUGUUAUACUAAUACAAGCUGGAUUGAAAAGUCAGUAGCUUAAUUUAGGAAGGUGGCCAGUAACUGUAAAGAAAAGCUAAGGAAAAUUGACUUUCCAGGAGGCAACCAAAGUUAAGGAUGCCAUAGAAAUCCUUCACAGAGAAUAGAUAUCCAUAGCAUUUUUGUGUUUAAAAUAAAUAAUUUUCAAAAAGCAUAGUGCUAAAGAAAACAACCAAAAAAAACUACUAAGUUGUCAGGUCUGUAGGGUUCAAAUGUCCCACAUCUUCCAGACCAAGUUGGCAGUUGCUACUUAGAAGGUAACCCAAGAGUGGAAUAUCAUAUGGUGUUAACUGUCAGGACUGAAGUGCUUUGGUAGCAGUGUGUGUGGGAGGCCUGCACAGAGCCUGAUUGCAAUGUGCCUAACAACCAAAAUUGUUUUGCAUUACGUUCACCACAAAUUGAAAAUAUAUGCAAUAUUUACUCUAAUACAGUUUUUGGCAAAGAUUACACCUCUAAUGGUCUGAACAAUUUAAGCAAGCCUGGGGAUCUUGCUGAGGGCAGUAAAUUAGAACACUUCAUUUGUAGAAAAAGAAUUUGUUACACUCCACUGUAAAAGCCAAGCCAAAGUUGAACUAUGCCCUUUAAAAUAAUAAAACCUUUUCAUAAGAUAAACCAUUUCCAUCUAGAAAACCAUCAAAUUCUGACCUGACUGACAAAAGCUGAACAAUCUUGCCAUAGAAAAAAUGUAAUUUACACUGCAUCUCAAUUUGUAUUUUUGUUCCCAUUUUAUUACUUUAUAUAAAUAUUCUAAAUAUUAUAUAAAUAUGUUAUAUUCUAUAAUGUAGACUAUAGCAUUACAUUUCUAUAGCAUAUACAAAUUCUCACUGGUUGAACAAACAAAACAAUGAUCUUUGGAAAAUUUUCUAAUGAUCUGAAGUUUUUCAAAAGCUGCUUUUACAAAACCCAAAUUUUGAAUUAUGUUUGAAACUUUCUGUCCUUUAAAAAUAAUAUGUAUAUAACGAUAUAAACUGUGUUUUAAACUGUGAAAAUAAAAAAGAUGUAUGAACAAAACUGUCCUGCAGUUUUGGUGGUGAGGCCACUUGAAACUACUAACAACAAGAACCACAGCAAGCUUUUGAAAUCUCAAGUAAGGCUUUCAAAAUGAGUAAAUGAAGUACUACUUCUGACUAUAAUUCAUCAAGGCCCUUUGGUGCUAUCACAGAAAUAUUUAUUUACUCUACUCCUUUUUGUCCAAAUAGCUGUCUCUCUUCUCUCUACUGCAAAUUAUAGUACCCUCAUUCCUUGAUGUGCAGAAUUUUACAAAACUGCUGUGAGACAUAAUAAUAUUAUAAUCUCAUUAUAAUGGAACAUAAGCUCUGUAGAGACAGGUUUUGUGAUGCGUUUUGAAGUAGAUCAGGAAUUUGACCCAGCUUCAGCUAAAUCCCAAAUGCAGUGGAUCAAUCGUUACACCAUUUAGGAUAAUUUAAAGAAAAGGCUCUGUUGUUUUGGAGGCAUACUUAAAACAUUUUCAUUCAGAACCUUACUUGGCAAGAGUUACUGUGAUUUUUUGGUUUGGGUUUUUUUUUUUUUUUUUUUUUGUAGUAAAACAUCAAAACAAUGAACGAAAACAAGAUAAAAAACUAACCUUCAGACAUGAAUCACCAGUUCUGUAGUGGUUGGUAAGUUAAGUUGGUAAUCUAUAACGUUACAAUUCAGAGCAAAAGCUGGGUAAACAGAAUCUUGAAUGGAUCCCAGAGCAGAUCAAAUAGUCAGCAUUUGUUCCUGGCAAAGAGGUCUUCUAAACUGGAAGCAGACACCCAACACAAGAAGUAAUCUUUAAGAUUUUUAUCCUGACUUAAGGCCAUGUUACACUUAUGUUCCACAAGAGGAAAAGUUAAGUAAUGCAAGAGAAAAAGGUUGUCUUCAUCUUCCAUUUAAGGAAACAGAGUCCACAAAACUUAGUUAUUUAGUAUGGUUCCAGGUAUUAAUACAAAGAUACAUAUUCUCUGUGUUGUCUUCCUGUUAAACAGCUGGUAAUAGCCAGUGGCAGAAAUUUAAGGUGGAAGUGCCCUCUGUAGCGUCCAGCAAAAGCUUUCAAUUUCUACAGCUGUUGUUGUGGAGAAAAAAUAUCUCAAACAGUCUUGUUUAUUUGUCCUCUGUGUGUUUUCAGAGAUUUCUAAAACAUUGUUUGUCUCUAUGUUAUUAUUAAGCUUAUUGUUAUUAAUUUCAAAGUACGUAGUUAGGAGUAACAGAUCUUUGGAAACUGUUGGGAGUCUGUAUGUAUCAUUAUACUGAUGUGUUUUGAGAUUUAGAACUGGUUGCAGCUCUAAAUUGUGACAAGAUGGCAGCAACUUGGAGUGGUACCCAAGCUAGCUGACUUGAGGUAGCUGAACACCAGGGGUGGUAGCUCAGCUGAGGCACUUCAGUGUUUUGUAUGGAAGAACUCACUGUUCUUGGCUGCCUUUUUCUUUUCUGUCUUCCAGUCUCUUCUGCAAUAAUCCAGAUUUUGUUUCAGUGUCCUUGCUAGUCAUAAUUAUGCACCGAAGAAUUUAUGCAAACAAAUUUCAGCUUUUAGGUAGCUUUUUCUAUUCACCUACUUCAUAUACAGUAUCACUCACUAAGUCACACUAUUGCUUUUGACCUCUGAGUCAUUACAACAUUGCUACAAGAAAGAGUUAAUAAAUAAUGGAUGAUAAGACAAAAUACAACCAGAGCUUCUUUGUGUAAACUUCUGAAUUAAUUCUGGGACUCACCACUCUUCUAUGAACAAACUACCAGGCCUCAGAAUAGAACUAAACUAUAAAAGAAAACAAAUAAUAAAUAGAUAACACCUAAAUGUUCUGUUUCAGUAAAACCUUCAGUAUCAAAGGUAAAACUCUCAAUGAUUUCACCGAGGUAAAGUUUUUAGUGUUAUUUAUGAAUAUUUCACUAGGAAUUCUACCAACUUGGUGAUUUGCUGAAUUUUUAUGUUUGAUGGCAUAGUACAAAAACAUUAGCUGUAAUUUUUAAAGUUUUAAUUAAAAUUAAGAGUAUUCUGAGUAUUUUUAUUUCCAAAAAAAGCAGCUGUUAAUAAUAAAUAGGACUGAAUUCUCUAAAAGGUAAUAUGGAACUGUUUCUUUCUGUUUGUUUGCUCACUUAAAGAGCUUUGAUUAACAGUAAUGACAAGAUCUGAAGGUAAAGAAAGGUCUAACCUGAGAUUGUUUUUUGAACCCCCAACAGAGCCUUCAAGUCUUGCUCAGCAGUUUUGUUAUAUAUUCUUGCAGAUGUAUGUAGGACUGACACUGCUAGACAUUAGUUAUCAGAUCUAGAAAAUCUCUCUUCUUUUGACAUUUUAAAAUGUUCUCAUUUGAGCUGUAAAAUCACAAGCCACACUGAGAAUCCUUUCUGUAGAAAAGUGAAAGAAAGUACCAAAGGGUUAGGUCUUAACUAACACUCAAGCUAAAUCAAAAUGCCAGGGAUUUUAUCCUACUAAGGCAAGGCCAAGAUGGAAAGGUGGCCCUUAUUCAACAGGGAUUCAACAGCUCUCUUCCAUACCGUAAAUGCUGGCAGUUCUGCCCUUUUCCAUCAUGCGGUUUGGAGAUGCAGAGAUUUGACAUCAAUCCCUCUGCAGAGAAAAACAUUUCAUAAAAAGACAGGAGUCAGUGUGUCCUUGCUCCCUAGCAGGAGAUGCUGGUUUUGACUUUGAAUGUCCUAUGUUCAUAUACUUAGUGAAGUCAGAAAGGGUCACUUGUAACUGCAUCACCACAGAAUUCUAGGUGAAAAUAUAGAAGAGGUGCCUACUUGCUGAAGCAUAAUCCUCUUUACUUCUCAGUGCUCUGUCAGGAGGAUGUCUAAAGAGUCAGGAGUACCAGAUACUCAAACAGAGAAGGUCUUGUAGGUGAAGUGGUGACUGAUGGCCAUCUUGGCCAUAGUGACCUUGAAGUAGUCAACUUUAACAUCUUUGGUGAUAGGAGGAAAACUGUCACCCAAACUCAGUUUUUACACCAGAGGACGGUGGGCAAGGAACAGGCUCCCUGGGACAGUGAUUACAGCCCUAUGUGCCAGAGUUCAAGAUGCAUCCA